UGACGUCACAACAUGGCGCUGGCUGUUUUGCUGAGGCACCCUGAAACACCAGGGUAGCUUGACUAACACACUUUUCGUCCCGUCUAAUUAUUUUAAGAUGUCGCGAAACUAAAACUAAAGCGUUAAUAUAAGAGAAGGCUUAGUCCUCGAACGAUACCUGUCUAAAGAAUAAUGACAAGCUGUUUAUAACUAGGUCUGAAAAGGAUUAGAAAACACGUCAGCACUGCAGUCACGUGGAAGGAGUUUGAAAAGUAGCGGUUGUUGGUUGGCUGAAGUAAAACGGUGAAUUUAAUAUAAGCUGUACAGGCAGAUAUGAAAAAUGUGAGUAACUGAACAUACAAGAUGCAAGCAGUUCUAUACUGAAGAUUCACACUGUAGCUCAUGCAGGCUUCUUUGAGACAGGAGCCGUCUGCUGGGUGGCAGAGUGGUCAGAAUAGAAGGUGGCAGCCAGUCAAAACACUGCCUGUUAUUCCAGCCAGGGCCCAAGUGCCAGUGAAGAGCUUCUUUUCAUGCACCCUUAAUGUGGUAAAGUGAUCUGCUGCACAAUAGGGACACUCAAGGAGGCCAUCCCCAGCAAACAGGCCAAAACAAACAGCUCCCCUAGGCCUAGCUGCCUCACCCCCGGCCCCCUGAACACAUCCCAGCACCUCUCAGGUCCACUUCAAUGGGCAUGCAAACAGAAAUACACUAAAAGGUACUGUACACAUCCAUUCCGGUGCACACACAGUUACUGGAUAUGUACACAAAAAACAUCCACAAACAAAUAAAACACGAACACAUGCUGCGACA
ensembl:lncRNA